rnacentral:rRNA from 1 species
CGCAAGAGGAGCGGCAGACGGGUGAGUAACGCGUGGGGAUGUACCCAAAGGUGCGGAAUAACUCAGGGAAACUUGAGCUAAUACCGCAUGUGCCCGAGAGGGGAAAGAUUUAUCGCCUUUGGAUCAACCCGCGUCAGAUUAGCUAGUUGGUAGGGUAACGGCCUACCAAGGCGACGAUCUGUAGCUGGUCUGAGAGGAUGAUCAGCCACACUGGGACUGAGACACGGCCCAGACUCCUACGGGAGGCAGCAGUGGGGAAUAUUGGACAAUGGACGCAAGCCUGAUCCAGCCAUGCCGCGUGAGUGAUGACGGCCUUAGGG